UAUAGGGAAAAUAUAUAAUGUAACCCUAAAAAAACUCUUAUUUCCCAAUUCACUUCUUUAGCCUCCACCCUUCACUCCUUUCAGUCCCUCACUUCACCUCACUUACUGAGUUCAGACUUCACCGGAGCCUUCACGCACCGACUCACUAGAACAUCAGAUCUAUUAGAUUAUGGAAAGUGUUGUUAAUGAUAACUCAAUGCACGAGAGUGAAGAUUAAGAAGAUGAAACAUUUGAACUAGAAAGUCAAGGAGAGACUGUUGUGGAAGGUUCCAGAAAGAAAAGGAAAAAGUCAGCAGGAACUUCUGAGACUUGAUUCGGGAAUUGUUGUAGUGUACACGGCUAUUUUAAUAGCUUAUUUGAGUGGAAACAAGUAGAGAGAAG